CAGUCGCCGCGCGAAUACGGAGGGUGCAAGCGUUAUCCGGAUUUAUUGGGUUUAAAGGGUCCGUAGGCGGAUCUGUAAGUCAGUGGUGAAAUCUCACAGCUUAACUGUGAAACUGCCAUUGAUACUGCAGGUCUUGAGUAAAUUUGAAGUGGCUGGAAUAAGUAGUGUAGCGGUGAAAUGCAUAGAUAUUACUUAGAACACCAAUUGCGAAGGCAGGUCACUAAGAUUUAACUGACGCUGAUGGACGAAAGCGUGGGGAGCGAACAGGAUUAGAUACCCGUGUAGUCCCUGUCUCUUAUAC
rnacentral:rRNA from 1 species